rnacentral:hammerhead_ribozyme from 1 species
AUCCAACUAAUGAGUCCCAACAGGACGAAACAUGUGUCCUGAAU